GAUCAUGGCUCAGGAUGAACGCUAGCGGCAGGCUUAACACAUGCAAGUCGAGGGGCAGCGUAAUGGAUAGCAAUAUCUAUGGUGGCGACCGGCGCACGGGUGCGUAACGCGUAUGCAAUCCACCUGUAACAGGGGGAUAACCCGGAGAAAUCCGGACUAAUACCCCAUAAUAUGGGCGCUCCGCAUGGAGAGCCCAUUAAAGAGAGCAAUUUUGGUUACAGACGAGC
rnacentral:rRNA from 1 species